AAGGAAUCAGGAGGCAGAGCACAUGGUUAAAGCAUGAGAUGUGAAACCAGGAAGAACCAGGUCUGAACCUUAGCUCCACCAGUGGUAGCUUCAAACCUUGGUCCUUUCUGAGCCUGCUUCUUCAACCGUAAGAGAUGGAGUUUUGCCAUGUUGCCCCGGCUGGUCUCGAACUCCUGAGCUCAAGUGAUCAGCUUGUCUCAGGCUCCCAGAGUGCUGGGAUUACAGGUGUGAGCCACCACGCCCAGCCAAGAAUUCUGUAUCUGGUAAAACUAUCCUUCAAAAUCAAGGGAGAAACUAAGAUAUCCCUAAAUAA
rnacentral:lncRNA from 10 species